GAGCACCAUACAGGGCCAUACUGCGCAC
rnacentral:sRNA from 1 species